AGCGUGGGGAGCAAACAGGAUUAGAUACCCUGGUAGUCCACGCUGUAAACGAUGUCGAUUUGGAGGUUGUGCCCUUGAGGCGUGGCUUCCGGAGCUAACGCGUUAAAUCGACCGCCUGGGGAGUACGGCCGCAAGGUUAAAACUCAAAUGAAUUGACGGGGGCCCGCACAAGCGGUGGAGCAUGUGGUUUAAUUCGAUGCAACGCGAAGAACCUUACCUGGUCUUGACAUCCACAGAACUUAGCAGAGAUGCUUUGGUGCCUUCGGGAACUGUGAGACAGGUGCUGCAUGGCUGUCGUCAGCUCGUGUUGUGAAAUGUUGGGUUAAGUCCCGCAACGAGCGCAACCCUUAUCCUUUGUUGCCAGCGGUUAGGCCGGGAACUCAAAGGAGACUGCCAGUGAUAAACUGGAGGAAGGUGGGGAUGACGUCAAGUCAUCAUGGCCCUUACGACCAGGGCUACACACGUGCUACAAUGGCAUAUACAAAGAGAAGCGACCUCGCGAGAGCAAGCGGACCUCAUAAAGUAUGUCGUAGUCCGGAUUGGAGUCUGCAACUCGACUCCAUGAAGUCGGAAUCGCUAGUAAUCGUAGAUCAGAAUGCUACGGUGAAUACGUUCCCGGGCCUUGUACACACCGCCCGUCACACCAUGGGAGUGGGUUGCAAAAGAAGUAGGUAGCUUAACCUUCGGGAGGGCGCUUACCACUUUGUGAUUCAUGACUGGGGUGAAGUCGUAACAAGGUAACCGUAGGGGAACCUGCGGUUGGAUCACCUCCUUACCUUAAAGAA
rnacentral:rRNA from 1 species